ACAUUCAGGGCAGAAGUUACGACAAGUGCGGGCGGAAGUGGCUUCUGCCAGGGGACGCGGUAGAACCCUCUGUGGAUGUGACGGCACGACGGAAGUGCAGGCGGGUUCUGCUAAGGGCAGAAGCUGAACCUUCGGAACGGUCCCGGGCUUCCGGAAGGGACUUCUGGGGAAGUGGGAGGGUGGAGACGCGACAGGUUCAUGAAUUAUGCAUCAAGCACUCAUGGCUACCUGAUCUUAUAUUGUUCGCUGUCCAGCUCUUCCCACUAGAAUCUCGGCUCCGUGAGGGCAAGGACUUUGAGCUGUUCUCUGCUGUAUCCUCAGAGCCUGCCACUUAGUAAGCAGAUGAUGAAAAUAAGAUUCCGAAGAUUUAAGUGAUUUUUCCCAAGGUCACAGCAAAGAAGUAGCGAAGGACACCUAAAAGGCUCCUAAGGCAGAACCAGGGACUCGAAUAUCUUGCAAAGGCUUUAUUUGAAAAUUUUGAAACUUACAUCCCACAAGAAUUCAAGAUUAUCACCACAAGAAGAAAGAGAUAAUACAAAAAUAUAUAUCACAGCAUAG